GUCCCCUUCGUCUAGCGGUUAGGACGCCACCCUCUCACGGUGGAAACAGGGGUUCGAUUCCCCUAGGGGAUGCCA
rnacentral:tRNA from 1 species